UACGUAGGGUCCGAGCGUUUGUCCGGAAUUAUUGGGCGUAAAGGGCUCGUAGGCGGUUUGUCACGUCGGGAGUGAAAACUCAGGGCUCAACCCUGAGCGUGCUUCCGAUACGGGCAGACUAGAGGUAUUCAGGGGAGAACGGAAUUCCUGGUGUAGCGGUGGAAUGCGCAGAUAUCAGGAGGAACACCGGUGGCGAAGGCGGUUCUCUGGGAAUUACCUGACGCUGAGGAGCGAAAGCAUGGGGAGCGAACAGG
rnacentral:rRNA from 1 species